GGAUGGGAUGUGGCGCCACUACCACUCCAGCCCGGGAAAUCAGAGCCUGAAACAAAGAGAGCUACCUCCACACGAGGACCCACCUCACACUCACCUGCCGCCCAGCUCGCAUCACCGCGACCCAGAUAACGGCAAACUCAGGUGAUUACAACGGAGCUACUACCCAGGCCUGACACCAGCCCUCAGAAGCAAGUUUCAUAAUAGGCGGCGGCCAUUCAAGAUCACUCAGCGAGGACCCCACAGAACAACAUGGACUAUGCCUGGAUACCUGCUCUGACGGACGCUCGUUCCCUGCUACACAGCACUAGCAGAGCAGGUAUCGAUUAAACGGAGACCUCCACCCUCCCCCAGCAGUGUGGACUCGGGACCACCCUGACGCCAGCCUUCAUCACGAAGAAAACCCGGGUAACCCCCCUGAUACAUCAGGGUGCCUGAACUUUUAUGGUGAC